rnacentral:rRNA from 1 species
AGAGUUUGAUCAUGGCUCAGGAUGAACGUUGGCGGUGUGCCUAAUACAUGCAAGUCGAACGGAGCUAAUAGCAAUAUUGGCUCAGUGGCGAACGGGUGAGUAACGCGUUGGUGAUCUGCCUUGAAGUGUGGAAUAACGUUUCGAAAGGAACGCUAAUACCGCAUGUGCUCUCGAUUUUCAGAAAGUUGAGAGUAAAGGAUUUAUUCGCUUCAAGAGGAGCCUGCGUCCCAUCAGCUGGUUGGUAGGGUAACGGCCUACCAAGGCUAUGACGGGUAGGGGACCUGAGAGGGUGGCCCCCCACAAUGGAACUGAAACACGGUCCAUACACCUACGGGUGGCAGCAGUAGGGAAUAUUAGAAAUGGACGAAAGUCUGAUCUAGCAACACCGCGUGUGCGAAGAAGGCCUUCGGGUCGUAAAGCACUUUUUGGAAGGAAUAGGAAGGAAUGUACUUCCAGAAUAAGUCUCGGCUAACUACGUGCCAGCAGCCGCGGUAACACGUAGGAGGCAAACGUUAUCCGGAUUUACUGGGCGUAAAGCGCGUGUAGGUGGUACUGUAAGUAGGGCGUGAAAGCUCCUGGCUCAACUGGGAGAGGCCGUUCUAAACUACAGAACUAGAGGAUGGUAGAGGGAGGUGGAAUUCCAGGUGUAGCGGUGGAAUGCGCAGAUAUCUGGAGGAACACCGGUGGCGAAGGCGGCCUCCUG